CUGAUCCUGCAGCUCCUCGAGGGUGUCAUCGCUUUCCCCCUUCCCAGACCCAGCACACCCUGCCUGCAUGGCGCUGCGCUGCACCUUCACUCUGGUCACGGGUCUGGCAGUCAGCUCACCAAUUCCUCCUGCUUCCCUGGGACUUGCCGGCUUUUAGCACUGCAAUUCACUCAGCAAACUGGGACUGUUGGUCACCCUACCUGGCAGCCAGUGAUAAGGUGAGGGCCACUCCUGGGAGGGAGGACACCUGUGGGGAAAAUUCUUGUGUUAUUUAUUUCUCCUUCGGGAUAGGGUGCCUGCAGCGCUUCAUGGGAGGGGGUGGGCUGAUGCUGCGGGCUCAGAAGUUUCAAGGGCAUCUGGGGAGACCAGAUAUUCAGAGACCUUCUAGAUGUGCCUGUUCCAUGUAUCAGGGACGCAGGUUUUCCCAACAGGGCUGGUGUCAUUGGCAUGACAGACCUGCCUUGGCUGAGCGUUCACCUGUCUUUGGAGUUCAGCCACCUUAGCAAGUCCUGGGUUUGUUCUUCAGACUUUGCUGCUCGCCCAUUGCCUGGAUCGGGGGCUACUUUGUAAACCACCAGGAAGACUCCAGUGUUUCUGGUUAAUUUUUAGAUGUUUGUUAAUUGCUCUUGGUCUCUCAUUAAUCCCCUGUGGGUCAUCCAGGAAACAUACUCACCACUGUCUGUUCUCUGAGUUUUCAUUUCCAGGCAUCCGCCCUGCCUGGAUCUCCUCACCUGCCAGGAACUUCCUCUCCACAAGCCGGCCAUCCCAGCAAAAGUUCUAACACCAAAGAUGACUGCCAGGGGCAUGAAGGGGAUGUGCUUCCAGGGCAUUUGCUGGCAGGGCGUCUCGUGAUCUCUUGGUAUUGGUGUGAGCACAGCCUGGCAGGAGAGGGCAGAUCUCCAUGCAAAGUAUGUCAGAAAGCAGAUGGAAGCCAGGCCCCCUCCUGAAAGAGGCUCCUUGAAGGUAGGUGCACACUCAUGUCUUUGUUACUUGUAAGGGGGCAUCUUACAGGCAAGAGGAGUUAGGUGAAUGUGAAGAGGAAGGAACUACUCUGGGCAGGGGGCUGGGGGACGCUUCGUAGAGGAGGGGGUGUUUGAGCUGGGCCUUGAAGGUCAAAAGGGUUUUGUUAGGUGGGAAAUGGGGGAAGGACAGUCUGAAAGGGUUAGGUACAUUCAAGGAGCCCAGAGAAGGUUCGUGGCUGGAGCAGACGCAUUCGUAGAGUGAAGUCAUGGGAGAGAAGAGGCUGGGAAACUAGAUUGGUUCCAACUCCUAAAGGACCACUGAAGGAGUGUGGGCUGCACGCUGGGUGCAGCAGGUGAGUUUCCUCACUUGGGUUUCACUGUCAGCAUUUUAAAAAGGCAAACUGGU
rnacentral:lncRNA from 1 species